AAAUUAGAAAUAAGUAAAAUAAAUAAGAGGCUCUCUUAUUUAGUAAGUUGAACAGUGUAUUAGAGACUGUGAACGUGUAUCGGUUGGAAGCUCGAUGUAUCGGUUGGAAGCUCGAUUUUAAGCUCUGUGUAUCGGUUGGAAGCUCGAUUUAAUAUAUAUAUAUAUAUAUUUUUUUUUUUCACACCGUAGUUCUUUUUUCUUCCCCUCUCUCUCGCGAAUCACUCUGAUUUUGCAAUUGGAAAAGAGCCAUCUCACAACCGAUUGGAAACGGGAGGAGAUUGAAUCAAUUGGAAUCAGAGGGCGAUUAUGAUCGUCUACACUUAUCAACCACUCCUUUCCUUGAGAACAAUAUGGAGUUUUGAUUAAAUGCAUGGAUGAUUUAUCUAUGGAACAGCAAAAGUGGUUUGUGGAUCACCCGGAGUUUAUAUCGAAUCCAUUUUACGUUGGUGGAGAUUCAUUUUCUGGGUUUAUUGUUCCAGAGGUUGUUCAACAGAUUUCUCUUGAUCUAUCAACAUCAGCAAAAUUACAAGCAGAAAAGCAUGUCCUGCAAUGGGCCAUGACUAGCUGGACAGGAAGCUGCUGCAGAAUAUGGUUUUGGGAAGCUUUGGAAAGUGUAUAGAGCUGGGAUUGAAGAUUGGCUUGUUGGUCUGUUGCAGCCUGUGAUUGAUGACUUGAAGAAGAAGCCUGUUUAUGUCCAACUAGUUGCAGUACAUGUGUACUUGGUAGUUGAUCAACUGUUGGGAUUGCUCUUACUUGGUUUCAGUUGGAUAUUGUUUUCCACUCACUGAAGGAUCUCAUGAGAUAUAUUUCACUUCAUGUUGUUAUUGCUCUCGUUGAAAUUUGGUAUGAUCCCUAUAGCUGUCCCAGUUGGUGUCCGGGAUUUUGAGAUUGAUGGGUGAGCUUUGGGUCAAACUAAGAUUGAUACCAACACAACCUUGGGUGGGAGCUGUAUCAUGUUCGUUUGUACCACUUCCAAAGGUCACACUUCAACUUGCAGCAUUCAUAUUAUUUCAUAUACAAACAACCUCUUAUAGUAAUUUUUACAACUGUUGGCUAUAAACUGGGAUUGCUGAUUAAUAAAGAGACUUUUGUUCUU